GGGAUAACAGUUAGAAAUAGCUGCUAAUACCGCAUAAGCGCACGGUUCCGCAUGGAACAGUGUGAAAAACUCCGGUGGUGUGAGAUGGACCCGCGUCUGAUUAGCCAGUUGGCGGGGUAACGGCCCACCAAAGCGACGAUCAGUAGCCGGCCUGAGAGGGUGAACGGCCACAUUGGGACUGAGACACGGCCCAAACUCCUACGGGAGGCAGCAGUGGGGAAUAUUGCACAAUGGGGGAAACCCUGAUGCAGCGACGCCGCGUGAGUGAAGAAGUAUUUCGGUAUGUAAAGCUCUAUCAGCAGGGAAGAAAGUGACGGUACCUGAAUAAGAAGCCCCGGCUAACUACGUGCCAGCAGCCGCGGUAAUACGUAGGGGGCAAGCGUUAUCCGGAUUUACUGGGUGUAAAGGGAGCGUAGACGGCAAGGCAAGUCUGAAGUGAAAGCCCGGUGCUUAACGCCGGGACUGCUUUGGAAACUGUUUAGCUGGAGUGCCGGAGAGGUAAGCGGAAUUCCUAGUGUAGCGGUGAAAUGCGUAGAUAUUAGGAAGAACACCAGUGGCGAAGGCGGCUUACUGGACGGUAACUGACGUUGAGGCUCGAAAGCGUGGGGAGCAAACAGGAUUAGAUACCCUGGUAGUCCACGCCGUAAACGAUGAUUGCUAGGUGUAGGUGGGUAUGGCCCAUCGGUGCCGCAG
rnacentral:rRNA from 1 species